rnacentral:rRNA from 1 species
CUGGGCGUAAAGCGAGCGUAGGUGGCUUGAUAAGUCAGAUGUGUAAGCCCCGGGCUCAACCUGGGAACGGCAUCUGAUACUGUUAGGCUAGAGUAGGUGAGAGGAAGGUAGAAUUCCAGGUGUAGCGGUGAAAUGCGUAGAGAUCUGGAGGAAUACUGAUGGCGAAGGCAGCCUUCUGGCAUCAUACUGACACCGAGGUUCGAAAGCGUGGGUAGCAAACAGGAUUAGAUACCCUGGUAGUCCACGCCGUAAACGAUGUCUACUAGUCGUUGGGUCCCUUGAGGACUUAGUGACGCAGCUAACGCAAUAAGUAGACCGCCUGGGGAGUACGGCCGCAAGGUUAAAACUCAAAUGAAUUGACGGGGGCCCGCACAAGCGGUGGAGCAUGUGGUUUAAUUCGAUGCAACGCGAAGAACCUUACCUGGUCUUGACAUAUCUAGAAUCCUGCAGAGAUGCGGGAGUGCCUUCGGGAAUUAGAAUACAGGUGCUGCAUGGCUGUCGUCAGCUCGUGUCGUGAGAUGUUGGGUUAAGUCCCGCAACGAGCGCAACCCUUGUCCUUAGUUACCAGCGGUUUGGCCGGGAACUCUAAGGAUACUGCCAGUGACAAACUGGAGGAAGGCGGGGACGACGUCAAGUCAUCAUGGCCCUUACGACCAGGGCUACACACGUGCUACAAUGGUAGGUACAGAGGGCAGCUACACAGCGAUGUGAUGCGAAUCUCAAAAAGCCUAUCGUAGUCCAGAUUGGAGUCUGCAACUCGACUCCAUGAAGUAGGAAUCGCUAGUAAUCGCGGAUCAGAAUGC